UACGUAGGGGGCAAGCGUUGUCCGGAAUUAUUGGGCGUAAAGAGCGCGUAGGCGGUCCGAUAAGUCGGCUGUGAAAGUCAGGGGCUCAACCCUUGAAAGCCGGCCGAUACUGUCGGACUAGAGUCCGGAAGAGGCGAGUGGAAUUCCUGGUGUAGCGGUGAAAUGCGCAGAUAUCAGGAGGAACACCGAUGGCGAAGGCAGCUCGCUGGGACGGUACUGACGCUGCGGCGCGAAAGCAUGUGGAGCGAACAGG
rnacentral:rRNA from 1 species